GACGAACCGUGCGAACGUUGUUCGGAAUCACUGGGCUUAAAGGGCGCGUAGGCGGUCGGUCAAGUCCGGGGUGAAAGCCCCCAGCUCAACUGGGGAAGUGCCUUGGAUACUGAUCGACUCGAGGGAGGCAGGGGUCGUGGGAACUUCCGGUGGAGCGGUGAAAUGCGUUGAUAUCGGAAGGAACGCCGGUGGCGAAAGCGCACGACUGGUCCUCUUCUGACGCUGAGGCGCGAAAGCCAGGGGAGCAAACGGG
rnacentral:rRNA from 1 species